GUAGAUGUGGUCAGUAUUUAUAUGGUGGUCAGUCUCUCCAGCCCCAACUUGGAAGCAUUCCAGAACGUCACCGACUCGGAGUAACCCGCAACCCUGUGCUCCCAGUGACACAGCUGGACGUUGUCACCGUACCCCGGCGCUGAACAGUUUGUGGUUCUUGUGAACAGAAGACUUCGUUUGCAUGUAGGUUAAAUACGGGGCAACUUCUUGCAUGCACUGAAAAAGACUUUCUCUACAAUACAAGCUGUGGACAUCUUUGAAGUGAAUAUUACUCUCCCUGCCGUCUGUUCUGUUUGUCCAUCACCUUGCUGAUGUCAAGCAAUAUGAUCAGCGGUGUAUAUGCACUCAGCAGGCCAGGGCUGAAAGUCAGGCAUUUUGAAGAGAGGACGUUGAGAGUGAAUGGCUCAUUCACAUUAAAGAAGAAUUAGAGGGCUUCCACCCUGCCCCUCUCACAAUGGUGGCACUACUGGCACAACAGGAGAACUGUUCACACCAGCUAACACACACAUACAUACACUCUAAAAAUCAUGGCUUUUGUGUCCAGUAAAAUAGAGUGUGGUUUUGUGUCAAAUGCAUUUUCUGUUUUAUUUUUAGAUGGAUAAUAAAAUCUUGGUCUAUGCAGCACUGUGUUGUUGGUGAUGCAGUAUUUGGCUGAUGUCUAGAGAAGAGAGGAGAGCACAAAUAGAAGAAUAGUAUUCAGGAAUAGAUCAUACAAAAAUGUUAAUUCUGUCAUUAUUUACUCACCCUCUCACAGUUAAAACCUGUAUGAUUUUCUUUCUUAAUUAACAUUGCCAAACUCAAAAACUGACAAAAAAACAAAGUAAUAAGAAGUAGUAUUAUUAAUAACAAUAAGAAGAUAAAUUAUGUUUGAGAUGAGUGACAAGUGAUGUUUGAAGAAAAAUCAAGAUAAAAAUCACUUGUGAGCCGAAUAUUUUUAUUGGGCAUCAUUUCCAAUCAAACUGUA